rnacentral:rRNA from 1 species
CCUACGGGUGGCUGCAGUGGGGAAUAUUGCACAAUGGGCGAAAGCCUGAUGCAGCAAUGCCGCGUGUGUGAAGAAGGCCUGCGGGUUGUAAAGCACUUUCGGUAGGGAAGAUUAUGACGGUACCUACAGAAGAAGCACCGGCUAACUCCGUGCCAGCAGCCGCGGUAAUACGGAGGGUGCAAGCGUUAAUCGGAAUUACUGGGCGUAAAGCGCGCGUAGGCGGUCUUGUAAGUCGGAUGUGAAAGCCCCGGGCUUAACCUGGGAACUGCAUUCGA